UUAGAUGUGAUGAUACUUUCCCCAAGUGAUCGACGCUAAUUAUACUAUGCUAGUGUUUUAUUUUUCUUCAUUUUAA
rfam:Cucumis melo, WGS project CAJI01000000 data, contig: 20379